UCAUGUUACGAUUUUUCUCGG
rnacentral:piRNA from 1 species